rnacentral:rRNA from 1 species
UGUGCCAGCCGCCGCGGUAAUACGUAGGGUGCGAGCGUUAAUCGGAAUUACUGGGCGUAAAGCGUGCGCAGGCGGAUUGUUAAGCAAGACGUGAAAUCCCCGGGCUUAACCUGGGAAUGGCGUUUUGAACUGGCAGUCUAGAGUGUGUCAGAGGGGGGUGGAAUUCCACGUGUAGCAGUGAAAUGCGUAGAGAUGUGGAGGAACACCGAUGGCGAAGGCAGCCCCCUGGGAUAACACUGACGCUCAUGUACGAAAGCGUGGGUAGCAAACAGGAUUAGAUACCCUGGUAGUCCACGCCCUAAACGAUGUCAACUGGUUGUUGGGGGAGUGAAAUCCCUUAGUAACGAAGCUAACGCGUGAAGUUGACCGCCUGGGGAGUACGGUCGCAAGAUUAAAACUCAAAGGAAUUGACGGGGACCCGCACAAGCGGUGGAUGAUGUGGAUUAAUUCGAUGCAACGCGAAAAACCUUACCUACCCUUGACAUGUCCGGAAUCCUGCAGAGAUGCGGGAGUGCCCGAAAGGGAAUCGGAACACAGGUGCUGCAUGGCUGUCGUCAGCUCGUGUCGUGAGAUGUUGGGUUAAGUCCCGCAACGAGCGCAACCCUUAUCAUUAGUUGCUACGCAAGGGCACUCUAAUGAGACUGCCGGUGACAAACCGGAGGAAGGUGGGGAUGACGUCAAGUCCUCAUGGCCCUUAUGGGUAGGGCUUCACACGUCAUACAAUGGUCGGUACAGAGGGUUGCCAAGCCGCGAGGUGGAGCCAAUCCCAGAAAGCCGAUCGUAGUCCGGAUUGUUCUCUGCAACUCGAGAGCAUGAAGUCGGAAUCGCUAGUAAUCGCGGAUCAGCAUGUCGCGGUGAAUACGUUCCCGGGUCUUGUACACACCGCCCGUCACACCAUGGGAGUGGAAUCUGCCAGAAGUAGGUAGCCUAACCGCAAGGAGGGCGCUUACCACGGUGGGUUUCAUGACUGGGGUGAAGUCGUAACAAGGUAACCA